AUUGAACGCUGGCGGCGGGCCUAACACAUGCAAGUCGAGCGGAUGAAGGGUGCUUUUUCCUGGAUUCUGCGGCGGACGGGUGAGUAAUGCCUAGGAAUCUGCCUGGUAGUGGGGGAUAACGUCCGGAAACGGGCGCUAAUACCGCAUACGUCCUGAGGGAGAAAGUGGGGGAUCUUCGGACCUCACGCUAUCAGAUGAGCCUAGGUCGGAUUAGCUAGUUGGUGGGGUAAAGGCCUACCAAGGCGACGAUCCGUAACUGGUCUGAGAGGAUGAUCAGUCACACUGGAACUGAGACACGGUCCAGACUCCUACGGGAGGCAGCAGUGGGGAAUGUUGGACAAUGGGCGAAAGCCUGAUCCAGCCAGGCCGCGUGUGUGAAGAAGGUCUUCGGAUUGAAAAGCACUUUAAGUUGGGAGGAAGGGCAGUAAGUUAAUACCUUGCUGUUUUGACGUUACCAACAGAAUAAGCACCGGCUAACUUCGUG
rnacentral:rRNA from 1 species